AUGGAGGAACAAUAUCUCAAGGAGAAACAGAUCAUUAUUGACGAUGUUCAAAAUCUAAAAACUAACAUUUCUGAGAAAGAUAAAGUUAUAGCCAAACUGACAUCACAAAUAGAGGAACAAUCACAGAAUGAGAAACAGAUCAUUACUGACCUUAAAGAAAAGGAG
rnacentral:lncRNA from 1 species